rnacentral:rRNA from 1 species
ACUCAAAUGAAUAGACGGGGGCCCGCACAAGCAGCGGAGCGUGUGGUUUAAUUCGACGCAACGCGAAGAACCUUACCAGGACUUGACAUGUAUGAGUAAGCCCCAGAGAUGGGGCCCUCUUUCGGGACCCAUGCACAGAUGCUGCAUGGCUGUCGUCAGCUCGUGCCGUGAGGUGUUGGGUUAAGUCCCGCAACGAGCGCAACCCUCGUCGCUAGUUGUACUUUUCUAGCGAGACCGCUGCGCGAAACGCAGAGGAAGGUGAGGAUGACGUCAAGUCAGCACGGCUCUUACGUCCUGGGCUACACACACGCUACAAUGGACGGUACAAUGGGUUGCCAAACCGCGAGGUGGAGCUAAUCCCAUCAAAGCCGUCCUCAGUUCAGAUUGCAGGCUGAAACUCGCCUGCAUGAAGGCGGAGUUGCUAGUAACCGCAGGUCAGCACACUGCGGUGAAUACGUUCCCGGGCCUUGCACACACCGCCCGU